CUCAUGGAGAGUUUGAUCCUGGCUCAGGAUGAAUGCUGGCGGCAUGCUUAACACAUGCAAGUUGGAUGGGAAGUGGUGUUUCCAAUGGCGGACGGGUGAGUAACGCGUAAGAACCUGCCCUUGGGAGGGGAACAAAAGCUGGAAACGGCUGCUAAUACCCCAUAGGMUGAGGAGCAAAAGGAGGAAUCCGCCCAAGGAGGGGCUCACGUCUGAUUAGUUAGUUGGUGAGGCAAUGUCUUACCAAGGCGACGAUCAGUAGCUGGUCCGAGAGGAUGAUCAACCACACUGGGACUGAGACACGACCCAGACUCCUACGGGAGGCAACAAUGGGGAAUUUUCCGCAAUGGGCGAAAGCCUGACGGAGCAAUGUCGCGUGAAGGCAGAAGGCCCACGGGUCAUGAAAUUAUUUUCUCGGAGAAGAAACAAUGACAGUAUCUGAGGAAUAAGCAUCGACUAUCUUUGUGCUAGCAGUCGCGGUAAGACAGAGGAUGCAACCGUUAUCCAGAAUGAUUGGGCAUAAAGCAUCUAUAGGUGGAUUUUCAAGUCCGCCGUCAAAUCCCAGGGCUCAACCCUGGACAGGUGGUGGAAACUACCAAGCUGGAGUAUGGUAGGGGCAGAGGGAAUUUCCAGUGGAGCAGUGAAAUGCAUUGAGAUCGGAAAGAACACCAACAACGAAAGCACUCUGUUGGGCCAACACUGACACUGAGAGAUGAAAGCUAGGGGAGAAAAUGGGAUUAGAUACCCCAGUAGUCCUAGCCAUAAAUGAUGGAUACUAAGUGUUGUGCGUAUCAACCCA
rfam:Picea glauca, whole genome shotgun sequence.